CUGUCCUACGGGGCGCAGCAGUGAGGAAUAUUGGUCAAUGGGCGAGAGCCUGAACCAGCCAAGUCGCGUGAAGGAUGAAGGAUCUAUGGUUUGUAAACUUCUUUUAUAUGGGAAUAAAGUGAGGAACGUGUUCCUUUUUGUAUGUACCAUAUGAAUAAGCUCCGGCUAACUACGUGCCAGCAGCCGCGGUAAUACGUAGGGAGCAAGCGUUAUCCGGAUUUAUUGGGUGUAAAGGGUGCGUAGACGGGAAAUUAAGUUAGUUGUGAAAUCCCUCGGCUCAACUGAGGAACUGCAACUAAAACUGG
rnacentral:rRNA from 1 species